rnacentral:rRNA from 1 species
AAGGCGAGGCCGAAAGGCGUAGUCGAUGGGAAACGGGUUAAUAUUCCCGUACUUGGUGUUACUGCGAAGGGGGGACGGAGAAGGCUAUGUUGGCCGGGCGACGGUUGUCCCGGUUUAAGCGUGUAGGCUGGUUUUCCAGGCAAAUCCGGAAAAUCAAGGCUGAGGCGUGACGACGAGGCACUACGGUGCUGAAGCAACAAAUGCCCUGCUUCCAGGAAAAGCCUCUAAGCAUCAGGUAACAUCAAAUCGUACCCCAAACCGACACAGGUGGUCAGGUAGAGAAUACCAAGGCGCUUGA